GUGCAGCGUUGCGUGUUUCUUGCCGGAGGUAGAGCUACUGGAUGGCCGAUGGGCCCUACAAGGUUACUGACGUCAGCCAAACUCCGAAUGCCGGUAAGUGAGAGCGCAGCAGUGAGACUGUGGGGGAUAAGCUUCAUAGUCGAGAGGGAAACAACCCAGACCACCAACUAAGGUCCCAAAGCGCGUGCUAAGUGGGAAAGGAUGUGGAGUUGCCUUGACAACCAGGAGGUUGGCUUAGAAGCAGCCACCCUUGAAAGAGUGCGUAAUAGCUCACUGGUCAAGUGAUUCCGCGCCGACAAUGUAGCGGGGCUCAAGUCAUCCGCCGAAGCUAUGGCAUUCACGCGUGUAUCUAGCUGCCACCUCGUGUGGUUGGUUCAGGUGUGUGGAUGGGUAGGGGAGCGUCGUGUCGCGUGUGAAGUUCCGGAGUGAUCCAGGGGUGGAUGCGACACGAGUGAGAAUGCAGGCAUGAGUAGCGAAUCACGGGUGAGAAACCCGUGCGCCGAAUGAUCAAGGGUUCCAGGGUCAAGCUAAUCUGCCCUGGGUAAGUCGGGACCUAAGGCGAGGCCGACAGGCGUAGUCGAUGGACAACGGGUUGAUAUUCCCGUACCGGCGAAGAACCGCCCAAGCUAAUCCAGUAGUGCUAAGUGUCUGAAUCCCACUGACGGAUCCCUUCGGGGUGAAGCGUUGGGCCUAGCGCACGACCCCAUUCUGGUGCGGUUAGCGUAUUAACAGGUGUGACGCAGGAAGGUAGCCCAACCCGGGCGAUGGUUGUCCCGGGGCAAGUGCGUAGGCCGAGAGAUAGGCAAAUCCGUCUCUCAUACGGCUGAGACACGAUGCGGAUGAAAAGUGGGUGAUCCUAUGCUGCCGAGAAAAGCAUCGACGCGAGGUUCUAGCCGCCCGUACCCCAAACCGACUCAGGUGGUCAGGUAGAGAAUACCAAGGAGAUCGAGAGAAUCGUGGUUAAGGAACUCGGCAAAAUGCCCCCGUAACUUCGGGAGAAGGGGGGCCAUCCACUUAUUAGGACUUGCUCCGAAAGGGUGUGGUGGCCGCAGAGACUAGUGGGUAGCGACUGUUUAUUAAAAACACAGGUCCGUGCCAAGUCGCAAGACGAUGUAUACGGACUGACGCCUGCCCGGUGCUGGAAGGUUAAGAGGACCCGUUAACCCCUCGGGGUGAAGCGGAGAAUUUAAGCCCCAGUAAACGGCGGUGGUAACUAUAACCAUCCUAAGGUAGCGAAAUUCCUUGUCGGGUAAGUUCCGACCUGCACGAAUGGAGUAACGAUUUGGGCGCUGUCUCCACCACGAACUCGGCGAAAUUGCACUACGAGUAAAGAUGCUCGUUACGCGCAGCAGGACGGAAAGACCCCGUGACCUUUACUACAGCUUGGUAUUGGUGUUCGGUGUGGCUUGUGUAGGAUAGGUGGGAGACUGUGAAGCGGUGACGCCAGUUACCGUGGAGUCAUUGUUGAAAUACCACUCUGGUCACUCUGGAUAUCUAACUUCGAACCGUAAUCCGGUUCAGGGACAGUGCCUGGUGGGUAGUUUAACUGGGGCGGUUGCCUCCCAAAAAGUAACGGAGGCGCCCAAAGGUUCCCUCAACCUGGUUGGCAAUCAGGUGGCGAGUGUAAGUGCACAAGGGAGCUUGACUGUGAGACUGACAGGUCGAGCAGGGACGAAAGUCGGGACUAGUGAUCCGGCAGUGGCUUGUGGAAGCGCUGUCGCUCAACGGAUAAAAGGUACCUCGGGGAUAACAGGCUGAUCUUGCCCAAGAGUCCAUAUCGACGGCAUGGUUUGGCACCUCGAUGUCGGCUCGUCGCAUCCUGGGGCUGGAGUAGGUCCCAAGGGUUGGGCUGUUCGCCCAUUAAAGCGGUACGCGAGCUGGGUU
rnacentral:rRNA from 1 species